GCUCGUGGAGCGGCCGAUAUCUGAUUAGCUAGUUGGUAGGGUAAAAGCCUACCAAGGCAUCGAUCAGUAGCUGGUCUGAGAGGACGACCAGCCACACUGGAAGGGAGACACGGUCCAGACUCCUACGGGAGGCAGCAGUGGGGAAUUUUGGACAAUGGGCGAAAGCCUGAUCCAAAAAGGCCGCGUGAGUGAAGAAGGCCUUCGGGUGUAAAUUUAAGGGGUCAGGGAAGAAACGGUGGGAGCUAAUAUCUCCUG
rnacentral:rRNA from 1 species